AGAUUGAACGCUGGCGGCAUGCCUUACACAUGCAAGUCGAACGGCAGCACGGGAGCAAUCCUGGUGGCGAGUGGCGAACGGGUGAGUAAUACAUCGGAACGUGCCCAAUCGUGGGGGAUAACGCAGCGAAAGCUGUGCUAAUACCGCAUAAGAUCUACGGAUGAAAGCAGGGGAUCGCAAGACCUUGCGCGAAUGGAGCGGCCGAUGGCAGAUUAGGUAGUUGGUGAGGUAAAGGCUCACCAAGCCUUCGAUCUGUAGCUGGUCUGAGAGGACGACCAGCCACACUGGGACUGAGACACGGCCCAGACUCCUACGGGAGCAGCAGUGGGGAAUUUGGACAAUGGG
rnacentral:rRNA from 1 species